rnacentral:miRNA from 1 species
GUUGAGAGGCUACUGUUUUAGACAUACUAUUUUCUACCUGAACUAUUGCAGUAGCCUCUCAACU